rnacentral:lncRNA from 1 species
CAACAGCAUCCUUCACAUUGAAGACAGUGGCAUUACUGAAGAGAGUUUCCAUGAAGGUUGAUAGGCCUUAUGACAGUCUGCCUACCUCACAGACCUGCUUCUUCCAGCUGCGGCUGCCCCCCUAUUCCAGCCAGCUGGUCAUGGCUGAGCGCCUGCGAUACGCCAUUAACAACUGCCGUUCCAUUGACAUGGACAACUACAUGCUCUCAAGAAACGUGGACAAUGCGGAGGGCUCUGACACCGACUACUGACUGAUGAGGGUGCUGCCACCCACCUUCCUCAAUAAUGCUCACCUCUGAUUUGAUGUUGAUAUACUUUUGUGGUAACUCCAUAGAUGCUUUAGGAACAUAAGCUGACAUAAGCAGUGGCCACGUUUAGUUACUU